rnacentral:misc_RNA from 1 species
UCUCCGUAGGUGAACCUGCGGAGGGAUCACUACAGAGUUCAUGCCCUACCGGGUAGAUCUCCCACCCUAUGUUAUUAUUACUUUGUUGCUUUGGCGGGCCGUUAGGCUCCGGCCCGACUACCGGCCCCGGCUGGUAAGCGCCCGCCAGAGGACCCAAAACCCUGAAUAUUAGUGUCGUCUGAGUACUAUAUAAUAGUUAAAACUUUCAACAACGGAUCUCUUGGUUCU